GUUAAUAUUAAUGCCCUGUACAUCCUGAGUACAUGUUUCCAGAAAGAGGUGAUCCAGGAGGCUGCCAAGUGGCCUGCAGGUGACAUCCAGAGGGCAGAAAAUGCCCAUGCAGGUCCACGUGUGGGUCCUUAAGCCCCUUGAGGAAAAGGGAGGAGAAAAGGACAAAGAAGGCUCUCCCUUUCCCUUGGAUCCCCUUCUACUCCCACAUGCCUAGUGGGAGCCUCCCUCUUCUGCUUGAGCCUUCAGGACAGGUUCAGGACCCUGUCUCCUACCUGGCUGGGCCAGAAAUGAGGAACAUGUUGCAAGCCUUCCUCCACCUGACUUGCCAAGUCCAUACAGGCUGGGGCCUUAGAUCCAACAACUUAGAAAGGGUGCCCACACUCCUGUUCUUUAGAAGAAAGGGACGGCAGGAGUCUGAUCAUCUGUCCGAUGCCCACACAGUGGCUGUGCUGAGUGACGUGUUGUUUUGAGGAUGUCCCUACCCCCUGGUCUUGCCGUCGGUCUCCAGUACCCAGCGAAGCAAGCUGUGGGCUCUGAGGAGCUCACACCAGGGAGGAGCUGCCCUGGAGUGGAGCAACAGCAUGUCCUCUCCCCUGUGUGACUGCAGUGCUAUAAUAAUAAUAACAGAAAGCUGGCAUUUCUUGAGCUCUUACUGUGUGCCAGAGACACCGCUCUAAGUGCUUACACAUAUGUAUUCGUUUUCUGUAGUUGCUGUAACAAAUUAUCACAAACUUUAAACAUUGAACUUAUGGCAUAAAGCAACA
rnacentral:lncRNA from 1 species